rnacentral:misc_RNA from 1 species
UUGUAUCGUCUUGAGCGUAUUGUGGGUUUCCUGUGUUGCAUACCUAACUAAUGGUAUCGUUUUGAUUGAUCGAAGUCCCUUUUCAUCUUGUGUUGCCUUUGCGACGCAUGAUGAACCUUGAAGUGGUCUCUAUGUUCCACUACGUUGAUGCUAAUGUUUCGAUGUUGUGGCCCAUUGAGUGUUGCUUGGUUUCGUGGAUACAGAACGUGAUUUGGGCAUAGGGUCACUCGUGACUCUUGUUUUGUCCUUUACCAGUGUUCUUUAUAACGACGGUUCAUGCGCGCCUAGGCUCGUACCUGCGCGAUGUUCUUUGUCGAAGAGGAAUGCUACCUGGUUGAUCCUGCCAGUAGUCAUAUGCUUGUCUCAAAGAUUAAGCCA